UAAAUCAGGUAGUGUGCAUGACAUCGACCAUGAAUUCCGAUAAACACAGUACAAGGGCGUGGACAGGUGGUGAAAAAUCAAAAUGCGUUUCCUACGUUAAUUUCUGACGCGUGUUUUCUUGGAGGAUUUGAAAGAAAUGGCGCUAGAAGAGCGUCAAAAACUGUUCGUCAUAAUAACACUGAUUCUGACUCUCGUGGCUCUGGGAUUAAUGGUGGGGUCUUUUGCCACCGAUAACUGGAUAAAAGCCACGGGAAAUAAAAACACCACAUCAAACUACAACGUUUCCAAUGUGCCCAGCAUGAAUGGUAGCUUUGGUUUAUUCCGUGGAAGUCGAAGAAUUAACUACGGAAAUGGACCGAGGCCUCAUAGUAUAGCGGUUGUCUGUGAUAGCAAGUACUGCAUUCUUUACAAUGACAAAGUAGGAGGAAUAGGAUCAAGGAAAAAACUGAAGGCGAUGGUUGAUCUUUACACUCAUAAUCAAACAGCUGGAGAUACAGAAAUGUACCAGUAUGGGUUAUUUCCCUUCAGCCUCUGGGUGGUGGUCUUAGUCAUGUCUGCCUUGGGAAUGAUCUGGGGCCUGGUCUACAUUGGAUUCGCUACAUUCAACAUUUGUGGGAAACCCAUCGAGACCAUCACUGGGCCACUUGGUCUAUUCAUUUGGAAAGGACUGGCAUUGUUGUUUUCCUUGCUGGCGGUGGUGGUGUACUUAGUGCUGUACUUCCAGCACUACAAGAAGAGCGUGUUACCACGGGAGGACCAGCACCAGGGCUUCGUCAGCCACGCCGACCUGGAUUUCUCAUUCUACAUGCUGAUGGUGGCCGUCAUUCUCUUCUUUCUUAACUUGAUAUUGCUGUGUUUAUCGGGACUCAAAUUUUCUUGUGGAUUCACCAGAGAGGCAGAGAAAGUGAUGGACAAUGGCAUCAUUCUGUAUUGAUUUUUUUUUCAAUAGUGUUUUGUUGAAGUUUGCAUAUCAGUGAUAUAUAAAUGUAUAUAUAUCCAUGUGUUAUUCGCAAAUCAAAAUUCCAUGCAUUUUUCUAAAGUAAUUAUAUAUUAUUAAUCAAAAAUGUGAAGCUGUGACAAUUGAGAGGUCUGUUGGGGUGGGGGAGGACCCUCAAAGUGUGUGUUUAUGAGGGAUAGGGGGACCCUCACAGUGUGUGUUUGUGAGGGGUGGAGGAUCUUCACAGUGUGUGUUUAUGAGGGAUGUCACAGGAUCCCCACAGUGUGUGUUUGUGAGGGGUGGAGGACCCUCACAGUCUGUUUUUGUGAGGAAUGAUGUUCAGUAUAAUACAUAUACUUUAGAGUAGGGCUCCAUUUAAUUUAUGGUUGUGCCCCUCCAUAUUUUGGUUGUCGGAGAAUUUCUGUUGGUUGUACCACCCCCCCCCUUUUUUAUUUGUAAGGAGUUUCUGUUGGGUUGAAAUCCCCUUUUUAUUUUUAAGGAAUUUCUAUUGGGUUGUGAUGCCCCCUCCCCCACUCCAACUUGGAAAUGGAAAUUGCUUUCUGUGGACCUGGAUGACACUUUGCCUUUAAUUCAUUACAAAUGUAACAUAAGUCAUAUUUAUUUGUAACAGCUGGUUGAUUUACGUAAUCUGUCAGUCUGUUAUUAAAAUUAUACUUGCCACACUGCAAUUUUGGAGUGAACCCAGUAUAAAUUCUACCAUGGAAAAAUUGUUAAACUUGUAUCAUUUUCAUAUAUCCACAUGGGAGAUGAUUUAAGGACAAUGCCCCCUGUUUAAUGGGAUACAUUCCUGGUGCUUUAUUGUGUCAUACUCUUGCCUCUUUUUUGAAAUUGUCAUGUGUAUAAUGCUAAAUGAACAUUUGCAAAAUAACAAGAGAAAAAAAAUUAAUGAGCUACUUGCUUUCCAGAGCAAUUAAAUAGCGGUUGGGGGAAAACAAAUUUUUAGAAGUGCUUAUUGUUGAUCAUUAUAAGUGACGUUUGUUGAACUUUUAUUUUCGAGUUAAAAUGUACUUACCCAGAUCUAUGGAAAAGAAAUUUCGAGAUAUUGCAAGCUUUGAAUGAUAAUGUGAAAAAGUACCAUUGAAGAACUUUGCAGGUAGACUAAAUCAGAGCAAAAAAUUCAAGCACAGAGUAUUUAUUUGUUGUUGUAAACUUCAUUUCCUAAUACCAUUGAUUGCAAUAUUGUUUCAAUGUAACAAAAGUAGGAAUGCAAACUUAAAACUUGAAGUGAUGAGUUUGUAUUGACCAAUGGUACAUAUAAUUUUUCAGACUCUGUAUAUUCAGAAUAUUGUAUUACCAGACCAUAUAGCUUUAAAUAGUAUUGAAAACUUUUUAUUGUAGACAUGUAUAGACAUGCAUUGAUUGCAUUAUUGUUUCAGUGUAUCAAAAGUAAGGCCAAAAAAAUUAAUGAAUAGUUUCUCAGGCGCCGCCACAUCAGGUCAAAAACUGCCACAUUGAUCAGUUUUAUCAUCAUUUAAAAAAGGGAAAUAACUCAAUUUUCUAUUUUUCAAAUUUGAAAAAGAAAAUUAAGUUAUUUCCUUUUUCAUAACAGUAUUAAGUAAAGAAACUUUUUAUCAGAUAAACAAUAUUCUUCGGUCCUUCAUUUAUUGGCUUUAUAACAAAUACAGGUAUUAAGAAUAACAUUAAAUACCGGGUAAAUUUAACAAAUUAUAAUUUUUUAUGUUAAGAGAGCAAUAAAGAUUCAGCUAAUAUCACAUUUUGUUGAACAACUGAUGCAUGCAUUGAAUUUUGAGAUUUUUGACCUGAAAAACUAUUAAUUACAUUUUUUAUGGGGGAAAAGAGUUAAACCUUUGACCAUUUGUAUGCAUGCAUCACAUUUUUAGACUCUAUAUUCAGAAUUUUGUAUUGUUGGACCAUAGCUUUAAUGAACUUCUACAACUUUUUAUUUUAGUUUAGUCACAUAGGAAGGUGCUACAGGCAUGAACCUUUACAACUUUUUAUUGUAGUUUAGUCACAUAGUAAGGUGCUACAGGCAUAUCAAUGUUGAAUGAUUCUGUUCAUGUUGAAAAAAAACAAUAACGUGUUUGAUUAAGUUAAUUUCUGUUUUGUUGUCUUCUGAUUUAUGAAAUGAUUAUGUUAUUUUUAUGAUUUUCCUUCUUUUUUUGUAUUAAUAAUAUCAUUAAUUUUUAUUUGUGAUUUUUUUUUUUAGAAUUUAGUGAUAUGGAAAAUAGUUCUACUUCUUAUGGUUUACUAUUUUAAUCCAUUGUUAGCUAGUCAACUAAUUAGUACCAAAAAAUGAUUUACACUUUUUAUCAUAGAAUGUUAUUUAUUAUUAGUAAUGUUGUUGAAUUGUAAGAAUGAUUGAAAUCCAAAGACAAGGGCCAAUGAAAAUAUAUCAAGAUAUUUUUACAUGUAUUUUAUAUAAUAUGCAUUUCUUUGAGUAAGUCAGGUUAUUGAUUAUAUAUGAAAUACCAUUACAAUCAUGUAGUACAUAUAUCCAUCUGUCAAAACAUUGUCUCAACACUUUAAACACUUUAAAAAUUAUUGUAUUUUUAAAUUCAAAGAUUGGAUCCUUUAACUUUAUAUUUUUGAUUUUAAU